rnacentral:rRNA from 1 species
UACAGAGGAGCCAAGCGUUGUCCGGAUUGACUGGGCGUAAAGCGCACGCAGGCGGACGCGCGCGUGGGGUGUGAAAUCUGGCCGCUUAACGGCCAGGCGCCAUCCCAUACGGCGGGUCGGGAGCUAUGCAGAGGUCGGUGGAAUUGCCGGUGUAGUGGUGAAAUGCGUAGAGAUCGGCAGGAACACCCAGGGGGAAACCAGCCGACUGGGCAUAGGCUGACGCUGAGGUGCGAGAGCGUGGGGAGCGAACCGG